GGCUGAUUCGAAACUUCCGGAUCAACAAGCAGGACAUGAAAAGGGCACGACUGUCACUUUGGCUGCUCAAGCUGGCGCGAACGUGGUGUUCGA
rnacentral:ncRNA from 1 species